rnacentral:lncRNA from 1 species
AGGUAAUGGGUGAAGAAGUCAAUAAGAUCAAUGAGGGAGAAUUUUUGAACUUGAGCAAAUAUUACAUGAUUGAAAAAAAUCUUUAACCACCUUCCAUAUUCGUAACUACUAAAAAUCUCUACAUAUCAGCUGUAAAGUCUUUUUCUAUCCAAAAUAUCCAACUAUUAGAAAAUUGUGGCAUGUUUAAAGAACACGUAAACAUGCUUCUUCUUUUCAAACAUAUAGGUACCCUUCAAAAUCAGAUA